UACGUAGGGACCAAGCGUUGUUCGGAUUUACUGGGCGUAAAGGGCGCGUAGGCGGCGUGACAAGUCACUUGUGAAAUCUCUGGGCUUAACCCAGAACGGCCAAGUGAAACUGUUGUGCUAGAGUGCAGAAGGGGCCAAUCGGAAUUCUCGGUGUAGCGGUGAAAUGCGUAGAUAUCGAGAGGGAACACCAGAGGGUGAAGACGGGUUGCUGGGCUGACACUGACGCUGAGGCGCGAAAGCGUGGGGAGCGAACAGG
rnacentral:rRNA from 1 species